GGGCGCGUAGCUCAGAUUGGUUAGAGUAUCACGUUGACAUCGUGAGGGUCACAGGUUCAAAUCCUGUCGCGCCCA
rnacentral:tRNA from 1 species